UGGGGAAUAUUGCACAAUGGGCGCAAGCCUGAUGCAGCCAUGCCGCGUGUGUGAAGAAGGCCUUCGGGUUGUAAAGUACUUUCAGUCGGGAGGAAGGUGUCAAGGUUAAUAACCUUGGCAAUUGACGUUACCGACAGAAGAAGCACCGGCUAACUCCGUGCCAGCAGCCGCGGUAAUACGGAGGGUGCAAGCGUUAAUCGGAAUUACUGGGCGUAAAGCGCACGCAGGCGGUUGAUUGAGUCAGAUGUGAAAUCCCCGGGCUUAACCCGGGAAUUGCAUCUGAUACUGGUCAGCUAGAGUCUUGUAGAGGGGGGUAGAAUUCCAUGUGUAGCGGUGAAAUGCGUAGAGAUGUGGAGGAAUACCGGUGGCGAAGGCGGCCCCCUGGACAAAGACUGACGCUCAGGUGCGAAAGCGUGGGGAGCAAACAGG
rnacentral:rRNA from 1 species